rnacentral:rRNA from 1 species
AUUGAACGCUGGCGGCAUGCCUUACACAUGCAAGUCGAACGGUAACAGGUCUUCGGAUGCUGACGAGUGGCGAACGGGUGAGUAAUACAUCGGAACGUGCCCGAUCGUGGGGGAUAACGAGGCGAAAGCUUUGCUAAUACCGCAUACGAUCUACGGAUGAAAGCGGGGGAUCUUCGGACCUCGCGCGGACGGAGCGGCCGAUGGCAGAUUAGGUAGUUGGUGGGAUAAAAGCUUACCAAGCCGACGAUCUGUAGCUGGUCUGAGAGGAUGAUCAGCCACACUGGGACUGAGACACGGCCCAGACUCCUACGGGAGGCAGCAGUGGGGAAUUUUGGACAAUGGGCGAAAGCCUGAUCCAGCCAUGCCGCGUGCAGGAUGAAGGCCUUCGGGUUGUAAACUGCUUUUGUACGGAACGAAAAGCCUCUUUCUAAUAAAGAGGGGUCACGACGGUACCGUAAGAAUAAGCACCGGCUAACUACGUG